GACGAACGCUGGCGGCGUGCUUAACACAUGCAAGUCGAACGGAAAGGCCCUGCUUUUGUGGGGUGCUCGAGUGGCGAACGGGUGAGUAACACGUGAGUAACCUGCCCUUGACUUUGGGAUAACUUCAGGAAACUGGGGCUAAUACCGGAUAGGAGCUCCUGCUGCAUGGUGGGGGUUGGAAAGUUUCGGCGGUUGGGGAUGGACUCGCGGCUUAUCAGCUUGUUGGUGGGGUAGUGGCUUACCAAGGCUUUGACGGGUAGCCGGCCUGAGAGGGUGACCGGCCACAUUGGGACUGAGAUACGGCCCAGACUCCUACGGGAGGCAGCUGUGGGGAAUAUUGCACAAUGGGCGGAAGCCUGAUGCAGCAACGCCGCGUGCGGGAUGACGGCCUUCGGGUUGUAAACCGCUUUCACCUGUGACGAAGCGUGAGUGACGGUAAUGGGUAAAGAAGCACCGGCUAACUACGUGCCAGCAGCCGCGGUGAUACGUAGGGUGCGAGCGUUGUCCGGAUUUAUGGGGCGUAAAGGGCUCGUAGGUGGUUGAUCGCGUCGGAAGUGUAAUCUUGGGGCUUAACCCUGAGCGUGCUUUCGAUACGGGUUGACUUGAGGAAGGUAGGGGAGAAUGGAAUUCCUGGUGGAGCGGUGGAAUGCGCAGAUAUCAGGAGGAACACCAGUGGCGAAGGCGGUUCUCUGGGCCUUUCCUGACGCUGAGGAGCGAAAGCGUGGGGAGCGAACAGGCUUAGAUACCCUGGUAGUCCACGCUGUAAACGGUGGGUACUAGGUGUGGGGUCCAUUCCACGGGUUCCGUGCCGUAGCUAACGCUUUAAGUACCCCGCCUGGGGAGUACGGCCGCAAGGCUAAAACUCAAAGGAAUUGACGGGGCCCCGCACAAGCGGCGGAGCAUGCGGAUUAAUUCGAUGCAACGCGUAGAACCUUACCUGGGUUUGACAUGGAUCGGGAGCGCUCAGAGAUGGGUGUGCCUCUUUUGGGGUCGGUUCACAGGUGGUGCAUGGCUGUCGUCAGCUCGUGUCGUGAGAUGUUGGGUUAAGUCCCGCAACGAGCGCAACCCUUGUUCACUGUUGCCAGCACGUUAUGGUGGGGACUCAGUGGAGACCGCCGGGGUCAACUCGGAGGAAGGUGGGGAUGACGUCAAGUCAUCAUGCCCCUUAUGUCCAGGGCUUCACGCAUGCUACAAUGGCUGGUACAGAGAGUGGCGAGCCUGUGAGGGUGAGCGAAUCUCGGAAAGCCGGUCUCAGUUCGGAUUGGGGUCUGCAACUCGACCUCAUGAAGUCGGAGUCGCUAGUAAUCGCAGAUCAGCAACGCUGCGGUGAAUACGUUCCCGGG
rnacentral:rRNA from 1 species